rnacentral:rRNA from 1 species
GCCCCAGACUCCUACGGGAGGCAGCAGUGGGGAAUAUUGGGCAAUGGGCGCAAGCCUGACCCAGCAACGCCGCGUGAAGGAAGAAGGCUUUCGGGUUGUAAACUUCUUUUAUUGAGGACGAAACAAAUGACGGUACUCAAUGAAUAAGCCACGGCUAACUACGUGCCAGCAGCCGCGGUAAUACGUAGGUGGCAAGCGUUAUCCGGAUUUACUGGGUGUAAAGGGCGUGUAGGCGGGAGCGCAAGUCAGAUGUGAAAACUCAGGGCUCAACCCUGAGCCUGCAUUUGAAACUGUGUUUCUUGAGUGCUGGAGAGGCAAUCGGAAUUCCGUGUGUAGCGGUGAAAUGCGUAGAUAUACGGAGGAACACCAGUGGCGAAGGCGGAUUGCUGGACAGUAACUGACGCUGAGGCGCGAAAGCGUGGGGAGCAAACAGGAUUAGAUACCCUUGUAU